AGAGUUUGAUCAUGGCUCAGGACGAACGCUGACGGUGUGCUUUAGACAUGCAAGUCGAACGAGAAAGCCCUUCGGGGUGAGUACAGUGGCGAACGGGUGAGUAACACGUGGGUAAUCUGCCCCUCGCAGGGGGACAACCGGGGGAAACCCCGGCUAAUACCCCGUACGCUUGCCGGGCCGCAUGGCACCGGCAAGGAAAGGUAGCUUCGGCCAUCCGGCGAGGGAUGGGCCCGCGGUGCAUUAGCUAGUUGGUGGGGUAAUGGCCCACCAAGGCGACGAUGCGUAGCUGGUCUGAGAGGAUGAUCAGCCACACUGGGACUGAGACACGGCCCAGACUCCUACGGGAGGCAGCAGCCAGGAAUCUUGGGCAAUGGGCGAAAGCCUGACCCAGCAACACCGUGUGGGCGAUGAAGGCCUUCGGGUCGUAAAGCCCUGUUGAUAGGGACGAAGGGCGAAGGGUUAAUAGCCCCUAGCCUGACGGUACCUUUCGAGGAAGCCCCGGCUAACUACGUGCCAGCAGCCGCGGUAAUACGUAGGGGGCGAGCGUUGUCCGGAAUUAUUGGGCGUAAAGAGCGUGUAGGCGGUUCGGUAAGUCUGCCGUGAAAACCUGAGGCUCAACCUCGGGCGUGCGGUGGAUACUGCCGGGCUAGAGGACGGUAGAGGCGAGUGGAAUUCCCGGUGUAGCGGUGAAAUGCGCAGAUAUCGGGAGGAACACCAGUAGCGAAGGCGGCUCGCUGGGCCGUUCCUGACGCUGAGACGCGAAAGCUAGGGGAGCGAACAGGAUUAGAUACCCCCGUAGUCC
rnacentral:rRNA from 1 species